UUCAACGGAGAGUUUGAUCCUGGCUCAGGACGAACGCUGGCGGCGUGCUUAACACAUGCAAGUCGAGCGGUAAGGCCCUUCGGGGUACACGAGCGGCGAACGGGUGAGUAACACGUGG
rnacentral:rRNA from 1 species